UACGUAGGGACCAAGCGUUGUUCGGAUUUACUGGGCGUAAAGGGCGCGUAGGCGGCGUGUUAAGUCAGCUGUGAAAUCUCCGAGCUUAACUCGGAACGGUCAGCUGAUACUGAUGUGCUAGAGUGCAGAAGGGGCAAUCGGAAUUCUUGGGUAGCGGUGAAAUGCGUAGAUAUCAAGAGGAACACCUGAGGUGAAGACGGGUUGCUGGGCUGACACUGACGCUGAUGCGCGAAAGCCAGGGGAGCAAACGGG
rnacentral:rRNA from 1 species